rnacentral:tRNA from 1 species
GGCGGCGUAGCUCAGCGGUUAGAGCAUUCGGUUCAUAUCCGAAGUGUCGAGAGUUCAAAUCUCCCCGCCGCUACCA